GACGAACGCUGGCGGCGUGCUUAACACAUGCAAGUCGAACGGAAAGGCCCUGCUUUUGUGGGGUGCUCGAGUGGCGAACGGGUGAGUAACACGUGAGUAACCUGCCCUUGACUUUGGGAUAACUUCAGGAAACUGGGGCUAAUACCGGAUAGGAGCUCCUGCUGCAUGGUGGGGGUUGGAAAGUUUCGGCGGUUGGGGAUGGACUCGCGGCUUAUCAGCUUGUUGGUGGGGUAGUGGCUUACCAAGGCUUUGACGGGUAGCCGGCCUGAGAGGGUGACCGGCCACAUUGGGACUGAGAUACGGCGCAGACUCCUACGGGCGGCAGCAGUGGGGAAUAUUGCACAAUGGGCGGAAGCCUGAUGCAGCAACGCCGCGUGCGGGAUGACGGCCUUCGGGUUGUAAACCGCUUUCGCCUGUGACGAAGCGUGAGUGACGGUAAUGGGUAAAGAAGCAACGGCUAACUACGUG
rnacentral:rRNA from 1 species